rnacentral:rRNA from 1 species
UACGGGGGGGGCAAGCGUUGUUCGGAAUUACUGGGCGUAAAGGGCUCGUAGGCGGCCAACUAAGUCGGAUGUGAAAUCCCCAGGCUUAACCUGGGAACUGCAUCCGAUACUGGAUGGCUUGAAUCCGGGAGAGGGAUGCAGAAUUCCAGGUGUAGCGGUGAAAUGCGUAGAUAUCUGGAGGAAUACCGGUGGCGAAGGCGGGUCUCUGGACAGUUCCUGACGCUGAGGCACGAAGGUCAGGGGAGCAAACGGG